UACGUAGGGGGCAAGCGUUGUCCGGAUUUACUGGGCGUAAAGAGCGUGUAGGCGGCCAAGCAGGUCCGUUGUGAAAACUGGAGGCUUAACCUCCAGACGUCGACGGAAACCGCGUGGCUAGAGUCCGGAAGAGGAGAGUGGAAUUCCUGGUGUAGCGGUGAAAUGCGCAGAUAUCAGGAAGAACACCCGUGGCGAAGGCGGUUCUCUGGGACGGUACUGACGCUGAGACGCGAAAGCGUGGGGAGCGAACAGG
rnacentral:rRNA from 1 species